rnacentral:rRNA from 1 species
GAUGAACGCUGGCGGCGUGCCUAAUACAUGCAAGUCGAGCGAACAGAUAAGGAGCUUGCUCCUUUGACGUUAGCGGCGGACGGGUGAGUAACACGUGGGUAACCUACCUAUAAGACUGGAAUAACUCCGGGAAACCGGGGCUAAUGCCGGAUAACAUUUAGAACCGCAUGGUUCUAAAGUAAAAGAUGGUUUUGCUAUCACUUAUAGAUGGACCCGCGCCGUAUUAGCUAGUUGGUAAGGUAACGGCUUACCAAGGCAACGAUACGUAGCCGACCUGAGAGGGUGAUCGGCCACACUGGAACUGAGACACGGUCCAGACUCCUACGGGAGGCAGCAGUAGGGAAUCUUCCGCAAUGGGCGAAAGCCUGACGGAGCAACGCCGCGUGAGUGAUGAAGGUCUUCGGAUCGUAAAACUCUGUUAUUAGGGAAGAACAAAUGUGUAAGUAACUGUGCACGUCUUGACGGUACCUAAUCAGAAAGCCACGGCUAACUACGUG